rnacentral:rRNA from 1 species
AGCGUUAAUCGGAUUACUGGGCGUAAGCGUGCGUAGGCGGUUAUUUAAGUCAGAUGUGAAAGCCCCGGGCUUAACCUGGGAACUGCAUUUGAUACUGGGUAACUAGAGUUUAAUAGAGGAGAGUGGAAUUUCAGGUGUAGCGGUGAAAUGCGUAGAGAUCUGAAGGAACACCAGUGGCGAAGGCGACUCUCUGGAUUAAAACUGACGCUGAGGUACGAAAGCGUGGGUAGCAAACAGGAUUAGAUACCCUGGUAGUCCACGCCGUAAACGAUGUCAACUAGCCGUUGGGCCUUUUAACAGGCUUAGUGGCGCAGCUAACGCAUUAAGUUGACCGCCUGGGGAGUACGGCCGCAAGGUUAAAACUCAAAUGAAUUGACGGGGGCCCGCACAAGCGGUGGAGCAUGUGGUUUAAUUCGAUGCAACGCGAAGAACCUUACCUACCCUUGACAUGCAUAGAAUC